rnacentral:rRNA from 1 species
GCCUGAUCCAGCAAUGCCGCGUGGAUGAAGAAGGUCUUCGGAUUGUAAAGUCCUUUUGGCGGGGACGAUGAUGACGGUACCCGCAGAAUAAGCUCCGGCUAACUUCGUGCCAGCAGCCGCGGUAAUACGAAGGGGGCUAGCGUUGCUCGGAAUGACUGGGCGUAAAGGGCGCGUAGGCGGACGGCACAGUCAGGCGUGAAAUUCCUGGGCUCAACCUGGGGACUGCGUCUGAGACGUGUUGUCUUGAGUAUGGAAGAGGGUUGUGGAAUUUCCAGUGUAGAGGUGAAAUUCGUAGAUAUUGGAAAGAACACCGGUGGCGAAGGCGGCAACCUGGUCCAUUACUGACGCUGAGGCGCGAAAGCGUGGGGAGCAAACAGGAUUAGAUACCCUGGUAGUCCACGCUGUAAACGAUGUGUGCUGGAUGUUGGGGUGCUUAGCACUUCAGUGUCGUAGCUAACGCGGUAAGCACACCGCCUGGGGAGUACGGCCGCAAGGUUGAAACUCAAA